UUCGUGAUCUUCGCGGUGACUCUAACUGGAGUGAUUGAGAUCUUGCUCUUCAAGAACAGAAUGGUAAAGUAAAACUAGAUUUCCAUUUUAUUUCAAC
rnacentral:ribozyme from 1 species